AAAAGAACCCCGGCGAGGGGAGUGAAAAAGAACCUGAAACCGUGUACGUACAAGCAGUGGGAGCCCCACCACUAAGCCAGUGGUGAACUCCACAUACGCAUCCUUUGCUGAGGAUACGGUUAACGGAGCGAAAGCGACGUUCAACCGCAAAAGAAGCAGAGGGGGCUUAGUGGUGGGGUGACUGCGUACCUUUUGUAUAAUGGGUCAGCGACUUAUAUUCUGUAGCAAGGUUAACCGAAUAGGGGAGCCGGAGGGAAACCGAGUCUUAAUUGGGCGUUAAGUUGCAGGGUAUAGACCCGAAACCCGGUGAUCUAGCCAUGGGCAGGUUGAAGGUUGGGUAACACUAACUGGAGGACCGAACCGACUAAUGUUGAAAAAUUAGCGGAUGACCUGUGGCUGGGGGUGAAAGGCCAAUCAAACCGGGAGAUAGCUGGUUCUCCCCGAAAGCUAUUUAGGUAGCGCCUCGUGAAUUCAUCUCCGGGGGUAGAGCACUGUUUCGGCUAGGGGGCCAUCCCGGCUUACCAACCCGAUGCAAACUGCGAAUACCGGAGAAUGUUAUCACGGGAGACACACGGCGGGUGCUAACGUCCGUCGUGAAGAGGGAAACAACCCAGACCGCCAGCUAAGGUCCCAAAGUCAUGGUUAAGUGGGAAACGAUGUGGGAAGGCCCAGACAGCCAGGAUGUUGGCUUAGAAGCAGCCAUCAUUUAAAGAAAGCGUAAUAGCUCACUGGUCGAGUCGGCCUGCGCGGAAGAUGUAACGGGGCUAAACCAU
rnacentral:rRNA from 1 species